rnacentral:lncRNA from 1 species
CAGCUGAGAAAACUAAAGCCUAGAGAGGAAAGGGACCUGUCGGAGGUCACCGGCAAGCUAACCAGGGCGAGAACCCAGCUCCCCCCGCCUGCGUGCCGCUCGGGUGGUGCCCUCGGCGCCGAGCCCCCGCUGGCGCACGUGCUCCGAUGUCCCCGUGCGCCCGCCGGCCGGCUGCUCCAGGCCCGUCCCCCACCUCGGACCGAGGCGGGGAUCGAUGGCCGUGGCCCACUCCCCACGCAGCCCCGGAGCCGGCGGUUGGCAGUGCGCACCGCGGAGGAGGGCCCCGGCUGCCGGCUCCGCGCCCGCCGCUUACCUNNNNNNNNNNNNNNNNNNNNNNNNNNNNNNNNNNNNNNNNNNNNNNNNNNNNNNNNNNNNNNNNNNNNNNNNNNNNNNNNNNNNNNNNNNNNNNNNNNNNCGAGGGGCAGGAGGGGCGCCGCGGUCCGAGGCCGGGCUGGGGACGCGGCUCCACAGUGCUGUGAGCGGCCGGGAGGAUUUACCGCCGCCGCCGCCGCUGCCGCUGGUGCACCUCCCGCCCGCCCGGGACGCUGCCGCCUCCUUCCCACAAUGCACCCUGGCGCCCGGGGGUGCCCUCUCUUCUCUCAGCCUUCCUCCCCCGCCCCCUCCUUUCCGCCGACUUCUCCGCAGGCGGGCACGCACAAAGUAGCGCGCCGGCCCGGGUGUGGCGGGGUAGAGGCGAGGCCUGACUCGGGCUGCCGCAGUGCGCCUGCGCACAACCUACCCCGCGAGGAGAGGGUAAUGCGCAUGCGGCGUGUCUCCCGGGACUCUAGAGCGGGCGAGCCCCCGGCACCUUCGGAUAGAAAUGCCUGUCGACGUGCCAAGCCCACCUCCUCCCAUACUGGGACACGCAGCAACAUGGAUGUACAUGGAAAUAUUUGGUGUUCUACGCUGAGAAUUCCACAGCAUAUCAUGAGUCAUCCUAAUGUUGUAACUUACAAAACUAAAGUUUGCAAAUGUUAUUUUGGUGGAAUCUGGAAUCACUGUGCUUUUUAUUUAGGUCUUCAGAGUAAUUGUGUUAUGGGAUUUUAAAGUGAGAGACGAUGUAGAUAAUGCCUGUCCACAGAUGAAAUUGCUGUUAUGCUGGGGAAAUAUGUCCGCUGUUGUUGCUUUAGCAAACUGCUGACCGUUAAAAUGCCAAAUAUAUCUCCUCAGUAAAAUUUCAGACUUUCAGUUGAGUAUGUAUAUCUUCUAUAGGCAUAUAGAUUAUAGAUUUGCCAAGCUGAGAGAGUUCUUCAAGACCGAAGUAUAGGCAUUGGUCUGUAGAAAGAAUGGAAGAGUGAGACGUGGAUGUUAGUUCUGGCUCCUUAAAAGACCACGUGACUUUGGGCAAUUCGUUUUGCACCCUUGGAGCACUCUAGCUUACUCAUCUGUAAAAGGAGAAUAAUUUCACUUAUCUCAUGGACUUGUUUGUUUUGUACAUUCAACAAAUGUUUCUUGACUGCGUAUGUGUAUCUGACAUGGUUCUAGACACUGAGGAUACAGCAAUAAAGGAGACAAAGGAAUGUUCCCCCUUUUGAACAUACAUUCAAGAGCAAGAAUAAUAUAGCAUGUUAGUGAUUAUUAGAUGUGAGGCUUACAUUAAAUAACGUAGAUGGUGCCCAGCACAAGGCUUGGCAUGUAGUACUCGAUAGUGAUUUCCUUUGUUUUUUGGGGUUUGUUUGUUUGGUUUGGUUUUAGAAAGAGAGAGUACAAGUGAGGGAGUGGGAUAGAAAGAGAGAGAGAAGAAUCUCAAGCAGGCUCAGGACCAAGAGGAGGGAGUGGGAGAGUGGGUUCAACUUGGGGCUCGACCCCAUAACCCUGAAAUCAUGACCUGAGCCAAAAUCAAGAGUCAGACCCUCAGCCAACUAAGCCACCAGGCACUUCUUCCUUUGCUUCUUUAGUCUUCCUAACGGCUCUUGAAUUAUUCUACAAAAUGGUAGUAAUUGGCAAAAAGCCUGACCCAGUGCCUUCUAGCUCUUAGCAGUUAAUAAGGCCUAAACCUGUUUUUGCUUAAGAAGACAAGUAAUUCUUACAGUUUUGUUUUGUACCUCCUUUAUGGCAGAAUAAUCAAGGUGUUACCUCAACACUGUUGACAAAUGGCCUUUUCUGAAGCCAGUUAGCAGGAGUCUUGCCUCGAGCUAGAUGGCAGGUGUUGGGUCCACAAAGACAAAUGAAUGGUGUCAUUGCUGUUUAAGUAAAACAUGCAGAGAUCACAAUGGCGGUUUCUGUUAAAGUUGUGUGCCCUAUGUCCCGUUGCUAAUACUGGUGAGCUGGGCAAAGUUUGCAUUAUUUAUGGGAGACCAGGUCAUUGACAAAAAACUGGGAAAAGGCAGGCUUAAUGCCUGUGGUAUGUUUAUAUUUCUGUCCCAUUGUGGAAAAUUUGGAAGGUUCAGGAAUGUUGGAAAACAGCAGCCAAAAGUUCACCCCUUGGGGUCAGGUACUUCACUAGACCCAUUUCUCUGUUUCCUCCAGAAACAUCCAGUGAACGUCCAUUUACUGAAUUUCUUCUUCAGGGCUGGGCCUGUGCUAGGCACAGCGGGGUACGGCCCUUGCUUUUAGGCUGUGCCUGGCCUCAUGGCAGAGAGACAGGGCCAGAGGUGGAGAGACAGCUCAGAAGGGGCUCCCACCUUCCACUGCCAGUCUUUCCCAGAGGACAACUGGAAGGAACAAGCUUGUACACAGAAUUUGGGGCAAAAAGUUAGAAUGAUCACACAUACGGCAAUUAUAGGAAUCAAAAAGUGGGGUACAGAGAGGCAAAACACAGAACAAUGGUGAGUGGCCUGCUGGCUGUCCCAUCCCGGGAUCCGGUGUGAGGUCUUGUCUCUCAGAAGAACCUGGAUGUUAGGCUGGAGGCCAGUACCCUAUACCUUGCUUUAAGGACCUACUAAGUGAAAAUUCAGAAUUACAACUCAGAUUAGAUGCAGAAAUUUGCCCAUGGAAGUUGAGUGGUUUUUCUUGAAUCACACAUCUAGCUGGUGGCAGAGCCAGGAUAAUAAUGAAGGACCUUGAAUUUCACUCAGUGCAGUGAGGUUUUUUCCAUUACUCCAUUAGUAAUUGCCUUUACUAAUAUGUGCAUUGUGAAGGUAUCUUUAAAAUAGCAGUCAAUGUUUGAUAAAUAUAUGACUUACCAACAGUUGAUUUAUAUGCAGUUUUUAAAGGAACAUACUUAUAGCAUAAAAGUAGGACAAAGGUUUUUCCAAGUUUCCUUCGGGUGUCCAGGCCCUUUGGUCCUUCUAUCAGAGGUGUGUGUUCAUAAGCAAAUGCUGGCAUUCUGUCAUUCAUUUUUUCCAGAUGUCCUUCUUGAGUAGUGUGUUGGGUUUUAUGUUUUUAAUAUUUCUUAUAUACAUUUUUUUAAAUCUGGACACAUAAAUCCUAAUAAAGUUCUCAACUAUCUCCUCUAUG